UACGUAGGUGGCAAGCGUUGUCCGGAUUUACUGGGCGUAAAGAGCGCGCAGGCGGUCGAUCAAGUCGAGUGUGAAAGCCCCCGGCUCAACUGGGGAGGGUCAUUCGAUACUGAUCGACUCGAAGGCAGGAGAGGGUAGUGGAAUUCCCGGUGUAGCGGUGAAAUGCGCAGAUAUCGGGAGGAACACCAAUGGCGAAGGCAGCUCGCUGGGACGGUACUGACGCUGAGACGCGAAAGCGUGGGGAGCAAACAGG
rnacentral:rRNA from 1 species